AUUUCAUCAUGUGAAAAAUACCUAUUCAUAUCCCUUGACUAUUUGCCAAUUGUUGAAUGGCUUGAUUUUUGUUUUUUUUUUUAUAAUUUGACUUAGUUCUGUGGAAAGGAAACUAGACUAACAGUUUGUGUGGGGGAAGGGCCAACUGGGAGUGGCAGUUGAGUCUUGUGACUAGCACUUCCUUCCUGCUGGAGAAAGACUGGGAUCCUGGUGUUGGAGGAGAGAGGAGCUUGUUCAGCCCAGUCUGGAGUGGCAUGCUCUUCUUGGUUCAGCCCUCUUCAGGCUUCUGAAGGGCCUCGAAAGCAGUGAUGCUGAACCUUUUAGAGACUUCAGAGACUAAGUGCCCAAAACACAGCUCUCAUAGUGCAUGUGAGACCCCUGCUUUACCUCAGACAAGAGAGGAAGGAAGUGAUCUCAUUCAUCUGCUAGGCAUAGAGGAGAGAUGGAUAUUUACCUAAAUAGGGAAACUGCCAACAUGCCCUGACUUCACCAACCAGAAUAAUAAAGUGGAGGAAUUUCAUGGAGUCUGGGACA
rnacentral:lncRNA from 1 species